rnacentral:rRNA from 1 species
GAUGAACGCUGGCGGUCUGCUUAACACAUGCAAGUCGAACGGAAUCCUUCGGGAUUUAGUGGCGGACGGGUGAGUAACACGUGAGAAUCUGCACUCAGGAUGGGGACAACAGCGGGAAACUGCUGCUAAUACCCAAUGUGCCGAAAGGUAAAAGAUUUAUCGCCUGAGAAUGAGCUCGCGGCCGAUUAGUUAGUUGGUGGGGUAAUGGCCUACCAAGACGGCGAUCGGUAGCUGGUCUGAGAGGAUGAGCAGCCACACUGGGACUGAGACACGGCCCAGACUCCUACGGGAGGCAGCAGUGGGGAAUUUUCCGCAAUGGGCGCAAGCCUGACGGAGCAAGACCGCGUGGGGGAGGAAGGCUCUUGGGUUGUAAACCCCUUUUCUCAAGGAAGAACAAAAUGACGGUACUUGAGGAAUCAGCCUCGGCUAACUCCGUGCCAGCAGCCGCAGUAAGAC